GAUUAACCAAUUUUUUUAUUUUCAUAUGUAAAUAUUCUCGUGACAGUGAUGGAACAACUUCCCCUCGACGCGUCACACUGAGCCAAAAACUUCCCUGUAUAUCACGUUUAGGAAAAGCAGCAUGACUCGUUGAAGGGAUUUCCCAUCAGAUAUGGAAAGUCGCCACCGACCGCUGAGACACUACGAGGAUGUAGCAUCUCGGGCUGUUAGCCGGCGAGUGUCUCUCCUGCCGAGGAGGCUUCAACCCCGACACGUUCAGCUCCAGCUGCAUCAACAUCUGCCCCGCAGGAUACUUUGCUGAUGACAAUCAGAGGCGGAGUCUGCAGUGUCAGGACAAACCUAAAAACUUCCUGCUAUGAGAGAGGAUUGGAACCACUGCACCAUCGUGCUUCUUCCAUCACGAUUUCAGACUGUCAUUUGAAUCAAAUGACCUGCAGGUUGUUGGAUCUGGGACUUUUUUGUCCAUGUCUCCCCCCCGGAGUUCUUUCCUUGGUAUGAAAAAUGCCACACAACUGACUUGAGAUCAUUACUGUUUAUUUAAGUAUAGCCAGAUGUAAUGCUCAGUGUCAUGCAUACAAUCAACAAAAUCAAGCAGGACAGUCAGGACAGUCUCCGGAAGGCUGUCAUGCAGCAGUCCGUUCAUUCCAUGUCCCUCUGGCCUGCCCCGACAGAUGGGUUGGACUUUACUCGCUAUUGGACAGUUUGGUAUCAAGAUCAGCUGCAAACCGAGAGCGGAUGUCUUUAUCAGGGGUGUUUCAGACGCUGGUGCGUGAGUGUUGUUAUCUUCGGAAUUCUGUGGUAUGCUUGCCGUUUAACAGUACGUCUCGCAAGGUCGGUAAGCCCAUUACAAAGACUGUAGAGUUGACAUGGCUGCCCCCCUUCACUCAUCAUGCCAAUAGUGGUAAUAAUAGUUCAUCUCAUACAAACCCCCCUUUGACAUGAUUUAAUCAUCUCUCUUUAAACUGUGUGUGUGCACGUGUGUUGGUUUGUAUGUCAAGGUAGGUAAAAUAGCCUCCUGUCAAUCCUCGAUGACGUAAUACCGCCCCCUCCCAAUGCGUUCCUGAUCUCAGACAAGUUCCCUCACCAGUUCCAAAGCAUAUGCGAGUAUGUGCAAGCAUGUGUAAACUGGUCUUUAAUGCAACUAAUAGAAGCAAGACUUCUUCAUUGCUGUUCGCAUGUAAGAUAAAAAAAAUUAAAACAAAAAACAGCAUGUUCAUUAUUGCAGUGUGAGCACAUAAAUCAAUCUAAUAUAUAUAAAUCAAUCAGUAAAAGAAAAUCAAAAAGGAAAUCAGUCCAGCUAGCAUUUCUAUCCGACAAUGUGGAAUUUUAUGUCAUAAUGAAUACUCAAUCCUAGAUUUAAUGUGAAUCAUCAUCAUCAUCACAAGAACAAUUGUCUAAAUUCCAGAUAUACAUGUGUGCAGUGAGAAUAUAUAUGGGUAUGUGUUAGCAGCAGCAAUGCAAUAAGUGUUUUAAUCAAACGGAGAAGGAAGGGGAGUGAUCUUCAUCAGAUGACUUCAUCUUCAUCAUCGUCAUGCACCCGAUUUAUCCUCGGCCGGACCAUCGUCUUCUUCAGCAUCAGAAACUCUGGGCUCAGAGGGAGAGGGUAGGACAAAUGUAGUCAUUUGGCAAAGUUGUUGUAGACUUUUGUUUAGGGCCAAAACAAUGCAUUAGUUCUUGAUGAACCGCCCCAAGUGCAUCCCUUGUCAUGUUGUUGAGCCUUUGGACAUUGUAGUGUGCAUAGUUAAUUCUUUCUGUGUUUUUGGACAGCGUAAUCCAAAUCAAAAUUCAUUCAAAACCUGCAGCAAUUUGGUUGACCAGUUUGUACUGGUCCGGUACACGAGGUAUACCGAUCGCAUCUAUGUAUACUGGGGAUUCUGACUCAUUCAAAUGUUCUGAGUGACCUUCUCCUCCUUAGUCCUCCACUGACCCCAUAAUGAGAAAUGUGUGAGAUGCAUCAUAAAUCGUUUUUUCAGUUGUCGGAAAAACUCUCACUGGGGAGAUCAAUGAUAUCAGUCCACAUUUCCCUUUCCAGUUUGGUGCCAGGUUUCCGUGGAGGGCCUUACCUCCGCAGUACCACCGUACAUCCGCUCUGGCUGUAGUCAGUCUGCUGGAAUUCUUCCAUCCUGUUAUGUCAACCGUUUUUGCACACCAGUUUUCACUGAUCCCACCAUACUCUGCUGAUCCGCUUGAUCCACGCUUUAAGCAUGUAAUGUUAACCCUGUUGGCUAUAAACACCGGAGGGAUGGCUUCUUUCGGGGCCACUGGGUAGAUUUCAUCAAGGAAUUCACUCAUUUUCAACUAAUUUUCAAUUUGGGGCUGAGGUUGUCCCGGGACAUAAUGUCCAUGAGGCAGAAGCUGAGGGUUUCAUUUUGGUCCAUGACACUGGGUACCAUCAGCAGGUUUGGUCUGGGUUCAGCGCACACCACACAGCCGCCAGAGGAGCUUGGUUUCACUUCUUCUCUCAUUCUGUUUAGCCAUUCAUUAUUUUGAAUAAAACCUGUUUCAGUUGCUGUCACCUUCGAGAGUGAGACUGAACAGUCAAUUAUUUCAUUUUUGUCAGCCCCGUUUGUGGGUUUCUGGGUAAUGUUGAACAUGAUGAGGCCCAGUGGGUCCUUACCACUUACCUUUCCACUCCUGUGGUUAAGAAGAAUACCUUCCCAAUGUCGAUACCUCUGUAGGAUCUGCUCCAGGGGUUUCCCCACAAGUUUGUGAUGGUCAAAAUAAGGGGGUUGUUUGUUUCCCACAUUAUGUACCUGACCUCUGAUUAGGUAUAUUAAAUUUUUUAGUCUAUGGAAUAUCCCAUCCCCCUCGUUACAGGAACUGGCUGUCCAACCAUUUGGGUUACUGUUCCAGUGCACAUAUUCCCAAUCUGUGCAUAAUGCUGCUGGUCCAGCUUUUCGGGUCUUCACCACACUCAAUCCUGUCACAUAGGUCAACUUGGAAGCUUUGGGCUGUGUUUGGUUUCAUUCUUAUUUCUACCAUAUUUUCUGAAAUGUUCAGGUUGGCGCCACGCUGUGUGUCCCCAUGCAUCUCAUGUGUAUUACUUCUUUGUCUAUAUAUGAUUUGCUCUUCCUUAUCAACAGCCAUGUGCGUUGUCUCUUUGUGAUACAUGCUUUUCUGCAACCGACAAACAGACCGAAGUCUGGCAGAAACUUAGAGAAGACUUUCUGCUUACCAUUCAGUUUAAGUUCCUUUGUUGGAGGGAGGUGUAGACUGGCCCAUCUGGAAAAAUCGUGGUUCCGAAUCAACCUAAUACCAAGAAGAAUCCAGGUCACAGCACCAGUUGUUGGAUGUGGGACUUUAUCGCCUACAUCUUCCCCCAAUUCUUUAAAUCUUAAAACUUGGUAUGAAAAAGGCCUGUCUGUCCUUACUCACUGCAAAAAUGCCAAAAAAUGACUUGAGAUUAUUGCUGUUUAUUUAAGAAUAGCCAGAGGCAAUGUUCAGGGUGCCAAAUCCAAUGGACAAAAACAAGCAGGACAGUCCCCAAGGUGUCUCUUCAGAAGGAUCUUGAAUUCUCAUCUAACAAUCCUUUUAUUCCAUGUAUUCUGGGCUUGGCCUGCCAUGACAGGUGGGUCUCCCCUUGUUUCAGAUAUCAACUUACACUUAUUACACAUAUCUCAUUCUGACAUUACGUGACCUUUUAUUCACAAUUGGAUAAUUUGGUUAUGGAGGUCAGCUGCCAACCGAGUGCUGAUGUCUUCAGCAGGGAUGUUUGAGACACUAAUGUGUGAGCUUUGUUGUCUCUGGACAAACACAGUCUUUCUGACAUCAACACGAAUAAUUAAAUAUUUAAUGAUUAAAAUCCUGAGUGUGCUGGAUCAGUGAAAGGGCAGCAUAAUAACCGUUUUCCACAAUUCCAGUGUUUGCCUUUUUCCUAUUUAUUUUUAUUCUAAGAACAAUGUAACAGAAUGCUAAUAGAAGAAAGCCCCACUUGUCAGAGUGAAUGAACCCAUUUCAUCAAAACUUUUCAUGGAUGAAUCCAAAGCCAAGAGAACAGAACAGACAGGUUUGACAGCCGUGUUCCCGGUUGGCAGUUACAGAAUAGUUCAAUAAGUCAACAAACUUCUGCUGAAAUUCAUAUGUAGCCUCACAUGCACCUUCUCUGGUUUCUGAUAUCAACUGAAGUGUUUGUUCAUGCAGUCACAUCAUUUGUGUCAUGAGAUCUUUUCAAAUAUGGGGUUGAAUGAUUUUUGCAGACACGGUUGUUAUUAAAUGUUCAAUUGGUUCACAGUUUAUAUAUAACAUGGAAAAGUGACAAGUGAAGAUACAAGAAAAUAGGUGGUGGGAAAACUGGACUAUUAUAGUCCAAACUUAAAGGAAUAUGAAAAUGAAAAAUGUCUCUAUUUGUUGGUAGAUCAGUACUACUUGUGGACGAGCAUUUGAUUUAAGCAUGAAGUUUCAACUUGUUUAUUUUGCUAGUCAUUCAAAGCAUCAUGUUGUGGUUACCAGGUCAUAUAAUAAUGGUACUUCUUGUGCUAUUGUUGCAGCAGACUUGUUUAAUCACAAACACCAAAUUUCUGCUGAAAUUCAUGUGUCGCCUCUCAUGAAUCUCCCCUUGUUUCAGAUAUCAACUUACACUUAUCACACAUAUCUCAUUCUGACAUUACGUGACCCAGUUUCCUAAGUCUUUCCACGUAAGAGAGAAAAGAUAACCAGAAUAAAAUUAAUUGCUUUGAGUAAAACAGAAAUUAUGAAUCUAUACAACUAAUGUAAUUGAUCAUUUACAGCAGGACACAAACAGAAAAAAGCACAUGUCAUUGGUGAGUGUUGUGUGUUGAAGCAGGUUAAUGUGAAGCUGUAAAAAAAUGCACAUUUCAUGAUAAAAGGGCGGCUUCUCAUGAGACAGACAUGCGCCUGCAAAAGCAUUUCAGAUGAUACUACAGAACUUAUUAAAGGUAAGGGAUGUGGAUAGUUUCGUUGAUUUACCCUUAAGGUAAAAAACACAACCUACUAUAGUUCCAUGUCUCAUUUGUUUGAACCUCUUUUCCUAUUUUAGUGUCACUCUGAAGGCGUUUGUGCAUUCCAGACGUGUUAGAGUCCAGCAGGCCAACUGUUAAUGCUAAAUACAAGGCAUGAAUUCACAUACUGAGAAAACUCUUUGAAUAGGUGAGGCUUAUGUAUUUGUAAAGACUCCCAUUUCACAUUCAGUAUGGAUCCUACGUUCAUACCCAGGCAUCCGUUUUGCAUGGAUUCUCAUGUGAACCAGCAUAAUACCAAAUAGCAGCUCAGAUGAACUCGACUUAUCUGCUCUACACAAAUAAAAAGAUGUUGAAUCAACUUUUAUGUUAAGAACAUAAGUAAUAUUUUUCCGUCACAUAUUUUCAGACUGUUGCAGCCAAUAAAACUGCUCCGUGACAUUUAAACCUGCCUACCCCAGCUUCAGUCUAAAAUCCCAAACGCAAACCCCGAUUUGAACAUCUUCAUUCCUCAUUUUGUGAUUUCUACAAUCCAAACAUGCAUUUUCUUCACUGGACCCGACAGAAGAAGCAGCUUUGAAAAAACUUUAUUACUACUUCAGUAUUUUCUGUCCACAAUGUGGGGACACCGCAGACAUGGGUCAUUUCCCCAUGUCCACAGUGCUUCUCUAUAUAUAUAAGGGAUAAAAGGAGCCACAAAUAAGCAGAAGCCCAACAGCGGAGGAAGGGAGUCCUUUAAUUCAACAGUGGUGAAGACACAAAUUUGCUUACAGCAAAUACGCUUCUUCAAGCGAUUUUCUUACUUUUAAUUCAGCUUAAUUUAUAUAGCGAAAACUACAACACAGUCAUUUCUUUGCACCAUUGUUUUACUGUGAAAAACCAAGAGUUCUACAUGAGCAAGCAAAAGCACCUGUGGAAAGGAAAAACUCCCUUUUAAAAGGAAGAAGCCUUUGCAGAGCCAGGCUGAGAGGUGGCAGAUUUCUGAUAUUUCAGUUGGAGUGAGGAGAUAGAAAGAGAGAAAAGGAGAGACACAAAAACAGCAUCUAUCAAAACACAGCAGGCUGCAUGUCGGAACUCUGCUCUGGGUCACAGUUUUCUGGAACUUUUUGUGAGCAUGGUUUGAGUGAAAGUUCAGCUGUUUGCAGUAGUUUGCAGGGAAUGUAAAGGAUCAGAUAAUUACAGAACACCAAAUUGCUGAAAAAAAAAUGACCACAGAGGGAAAGAUGAUGAAGGAUUUUUGGGAAAUCUCUUCUGUAGGAUGAACUUUGUACUGCCAGUCCAAAGCAGCUGCACCGCCACAGUUCACAGCACACUCUCAGUGGAGCUCGUGCCUCGGAUUAAACGUGUGGUUGGGAGCAGUUGGAGCUGCUCUGUCCACAUGUCCAUCAGUAGCAGCAGCAGUCCUGCAGCCUGCUCUACAUCUCAUCUUACUCACUGAAUAUUUCUUGCAUUUUUAAGCCGCUCUGAAAAUUCCUUGCAUUAUGUGGAUCUUUUUCAAUAUUUUACUAUCUCAGACUCAUGAAUGAAAAUGUCAGGUUUUUUUAAGUGCAACCAUGAAAUGCAUGUUGAGAGGAGAAAAAUGUGUUUGUAUGUGACUUUGAGCACUCAUCUGGAUUGGUUGUCCGAAUUUUUCUAAAAACGUAAACAAGAAGAAACACCUGGGGCCUUACCUAUAAAACUCUGCGGAAAAUUCUGACAAUAAUCGUGCGUGGGAACGCAACGCAAACUUCUGUCCGCAAAAAAAAAAUUGGGGGCUAAAAAACUGCCCACAGCACAGCUGUACGCAAUUGACAAGUAAUGGAUCCCAAACCUGCGCAGAACAUGACGGCUGUUGAUCCCAACCACAAUCUCGCCCCAACUCCACCCAUUGGCACCAUAUAUGGGUAUGCAAAUGAACUCAUGAAUAAAAUUUGGGUAUAUUAGAGGGUGUGGCGCACAGCACUGUUACAUGCUAGAGAAGUGCGGAUUGCGGUUGCACCCGCGGAGCCCGCGGAUAACUGCAGAUCGGGCGGAUGACGUGUAGAAAAAUUAAGAUUUUAAUUACAUUCGGGCAGGUUGCGGUUGAA